rnacentral:rRNA from 1 species
CGACCUGAGAGUAGGUGAGACUA